GAACGCUGGCGGCGUGCCUAAUACAUGCAAGUCGAACGAACUCUGGUAUUGAUUGGUGCUUGCAUCAUGAUUUACAUUUGAGUGAGUGGCGAACUGGUGAGUAACACGUGGGAAACCUGCCCAGAAGCGGGGGAUAACACCUGGAAACAGAUGCUAAUACCGCAUAACAACUUGGACCGCAUGGUCCGAGUUUGAAAGAUGGCUUCGGCUAUCACUUUUGGAUGGUCCCGCGGCGUAUUAGCUAGAUGGUGAGGUAACGGCUCACCAUGGCAAUGAUACGUAGCCGACCUGAGAGGGUAAUCGGCCACAUUGGGACUGAGACACGGCCCAAACUCCUACGGGAGGCAGCAGUAGGGAAUCUUCCACAAUGGACGAAAGUCUGAUGGAGCAACGCCGCGUGAGUGAAGAAGGGUUUCGGCUCGUAAAACUCUGUUGUUAAAGAAGAACAUAUCUGAGAGUAACUGUUCAGGUAUUGACGGUAUUUAACCAGAAAGCCACGGCUAACUACGUGCCAGCAGCCGCGGUAAUACGUAGGUGGCAAGCGUUGUCCGGAUUUAUUGGGCGUAAAGCGAGCGCAGGCGGUUUUUUAAGUCUGAUGUGAAAGCCUUCGGCUCAACCGAAGAAGUGCAUCGGAAACUGGGAAACUUGAGUGCAGAAGAGGACAGUGGAACUCCAUGUGUAGCGGUGAAAUGCGUAGAUAUAUGGAAGAACACCAGUGGCGAAGGCGGCUGUCUGGUCUGUAACUGACGCUGAGGCUCGAAAGUAUGGGUAGCAAACAGGAUUAGAUACCCUGGUAGUCCAUACCGUAAACGAUGAAUGCUAAGUGUUGGAGGGUUUCCGCCCUUCAGUGCUGCAGCUAACGCAUUAAGCAUUCCGCCUGGGGAGUACGGCCGCAAGGCUGAAACUCAAAGGAAUUGACGGGGGCCCGCACAAGCGGUGGAGCAUGUGGUUUAAUUCGAAGCUACGCGAAGAACCUUACCAGGUCUUGACAUACUAUGCAAAUCUAAGAGAUUAGACGUUCCCUUCGGGGACAUGGAUACAGGUGGUGCAUGGUUGUCGUCAGCUCGUGUCGUGAGAUGUUGGGUUAAGUCCCGCAACGAGCGCAACCCUUAUUAUCAGUUGCCAGCAUUAAGUUGGGCACUCUGGUGAGACUGCCGGUGACAAACCGGAGGAAGGUGGGGAUGACGUCAAAUCAUCAUGCCCCUUAUGACCUGGGCUACACACGUGCUACAAUGGAUGGUACAACGAGUUGCGAACUCGCGAGAGUAAGCUAAUCUCUUAAAGCCAUUCUCAGUUCGGAUUGUAGGCUGCAACUCGCCUACAUGAAGUCGGAAUCGCUAGUAAUCGCGGAUCAGCAUGCCGCGGUGAAUACGUUCCCGGGCCUUGUACACACCGCCCGUCACACCAUGAGAGUUUGUAACACCCAAAGUCGGUGGGGUAACCUUUUAGGAACCAGCCGCCUAAGGUGGGACAGAUGAUUUAG
rnacentral:rRNA from 2 species